GGGAAAGAAGUAUUAACCUUGAAUUGUAAUAUGUAAUUCGCAUCAAUCAGUUCCAUAAAAACAACCUCAUGCUUUCAAUGAAACAUGCCAUACUACAAUGAAACCUUGAAUUCCUGCGGGACUUUUGUACCCCCUAAAUAGCCAGACACAAAAUGCAUCGUAUUUUUAUGCUCCUAGCUUUCUAGAUAUUUGUCAUAGGAGCAAA
rnacentral:misc_RNA from 1 species